rnacentral:misc_RNA from 1 species
UGAAGAUCGGCUCCGCUUUCCUCUCUGUAAGUGGAUUGCGUUUUGUAGCACCAGGUGUUUGGGCUGGAAAGAGAUUCACUUUUUUUUCAAGUGGCAAAGGAGUGACUUGGCUGAUACAAUCUUUCUUUUCGGUUUGAUCUGAAUGCUUGUGUUGUUUGCAUCUUUGUCCUUUGAGUGAGGCUUGGGCUAUGGUGUUGUCUUCUGCUUUUGUUGCCUGGUGGUGCUAGUGAUUUUGAUUGUCUCUAAGUCUGUCAAGUGAGGCCACUGUCGCGACUGGCGAGGGUAGGGUGAAGGAAUCUGAAUUGUUUGGCUAGAGUUUGGUUUAUGUAGUCUUCCAUUUAUGGACCGUGGACCGCCCUCUAGAGUUGAUCAUGGGGUUUAAUGACUUGUUUGGU